GCGGGAUUCAGAGUAUGAGCCGGGCGCCUCCAAGCGGUCAGAUCUAUCAAUGGCACUGAGGUGCUCAAACGUCGGCCAAGCAAAACCCCACAAUCUGGCUAUGUUUGUUGGAGUCCACCUGAUAUAGCGGACGGCAGAAAUCACUCUCGGGUAUCAUGCAAAGUGAAAUAUAAAACACAGAUGGAGCGACUACAUGGAAAGAGGUAAGAACCCCACCGUGACUUUGAUACGUAUAAAUGCAUACCUGGUUGUCUUCCAUGUCAUGGUCUCCUAUCUGGUGUGUGUGAAAACACAAGUUGUGUAUUUGAAUAUGAAUUCCUGGAUAUUCUUUGCAUCCAGCAACGUGUGCACUUGUAUUUGAUCACAGCUUUUUCUUCCCAGCCUAGACGUCUUGUGUAAGUGCUGAUGUGACAGUCGCUCUUGUUCAGGUUAAAAGCUGACACGUUUAGCUGCUGCUCCAGGACCCCCAAUUUGAUCAAGAUGCCAUUAAGCAGGCUAAUCAUCAUUCAUUUUGCUGCGAUGUGUGAGCUCUAAGGCCGUGGAUUAAAUUAAAGGUGGCCACAGAGAUGCAUCUAAGUCCAAACAUGAGAGCACAUUGCAGACUUUAAUGCUGUUAGCCCGGGAUGACAGAUGAAUGAUACGACGCUCAGACGAUUACUUAAUUUAACCAAAGGGGCACAAUAUAUGUCAGGCUAACACUUCUAAUUACACCUGUGUGAUGCACAGCAGACCUUUUCUUCCAAGUAUUUGAGCCACAGAGCAGCAAUUUAUAUAAACAAGCUCAGAAUUCUCCAUUAUAGUUUAAUUUGUGUUAAACUUAAUAGAAUGUUGCAAAAUACUGUUCAAAUAAUCCAACAGCAGGACAGGUGUCAGCGGAGAUGCUGAGAACCGCACUACGAUGAAAGUCAUUUUAUCAGCUGCCACUCAUGUUGCCUCACAAACAACUACAUCUGCCCAGGCAGUGUUGUGCAUGAAUUGAUAAUAACAUAUCAUCAGAGUUUUGAGAGAAGCUGUCAAAGGCAAAUCAUCAGCGUCUAUCACGCGGCCUUGGCAUGCAGCUCGAAAAGCAAACAAACAGCGAAACGCAACGGGGAGGCAAACAUGAGAAGGCUACUAUACUUCACUGUGUGUGGCCUAAAACGCUGAAGAUCGGUCAGUCGAACCGGUGAUACCUUAAAAAACAGGACAAUUUCCACCGGCUGUCUAAAAGAAACAGCGACUCUCAUGUGACUGCAAGUCCAACACAGUGAUAAGGGAACUCACAGCAGCAGUGUUUCCUCCUCUGCAGGCUGAUUAGCUGUUCAAAUACACUCGUUUCUGUUGUGCGGAGGUCAGUAAGGUAACAGGUGUCCGCGUGAGACGUUAGAACAAUCUGACUGUGAGAAGCAAUGAGAUGAAUGAAGCCGCUGAGAUUAAAACCAGCAGGGAAACUUUGAAUAAACAAUGACCUCUGUACGCAGUUUAUUGGCUUCCUGCCUGUACGGUCAGUAGAUUAGCCACCAACGUUUUCCAAUUUCCAUCAAUGCCCCAACUUUAAAAAGGAUCAGUAAAUUGAGUGGUGUGAAGUUAGCGCUAGAAGAAAACUCACACGCUGCUACUGUUAAGAAUUCAAAAUGCGAAGGUUUUUAUUCAAAAUGCAUUCAUUAUCACUCAAGGUCAUUUUGAUGGCUAUUUUUCCCUUCUUAUUUUUAACUAGCAAGGGGAUAGUUACCCAGUUCCCGUCUAAAGGGAGUGAUUAGAAACUAGGAGCCAUACAUCUUCAGGCAGGAAGUGUCUGCAGGUGGUCAAAUCCUAAUCACAGCCUGAGUGAGAAAUAUUUCACAAAAUUAAAAGAUAUAAAUCGCAAAACACAAGUAAUAAAAUAAGUAUUUUACAAGUAGCUAAAAAAAAAUCUAUCAUUAAUUGGUGACAGUGUUCAGCUAGAAGAAGAGAGUGUCAUCAAAGACAGCAGACUUGUAAAGGAUUGGAAACAAUGAUACUAUGUGGGUGAUAAUACUACACAACAACCAGACCAGCACACUUUCAUUGUCACCUGAAAUGUCAGUUAUUUUCUCUGUUAAGUGCUGGUGUCAUAAAAAAUCUCAAAAAGCAGUAAAAAAAAAAGAAAAAAUCCCCGUAGAGUUGCAUCUUCGUAUUGCAAAAUAGGGCAUAUUAUGACACCCAUAAUGACUCGAACAAUGGUUUUGGGCAGUCGGUCACUUAAUCGACGAGUCAUUUCAGUUGUAUUGCCUCUGAUGCUGUAAAAUCCAGCAUUUCCAUUUAAAAAAGUGUCUGUGUGAGAACACAACCCCACUAACCGCUGUCUGUACUGCAUAUGAUCACUGUGGUAAAAG